rnacentral:rRNA from 1 species
GACGAACGCUGGCGGUGUGCUUAACACAUGCAAGUCGAACGGUAAGGCCCUUUCGGGGGUACACGAGUGGCGAACGGGUGAGUAACACGUGAGUAACCUGCCCUCAUCUCUGGGAUAACAGUCGGAAACGGUUGCUAAUACUGGAUAUGAGCUUGCAAGGCAUCUUGUGGGUUGGAAAGAUUUUUUUGGUUGGGGAUGGACUCGCGGCCUAUCAGCUUGUUGGUGAGGUAGUGGCUCACCAAGGCUUCGACGGGUAGCCGGCCGGGGAGGGCGACCGGCCACAUUGGGACUGAGAUACGGCCCAAACUCCUACGGGAGGCAGCAGGGGGGAAUAUUGCACAAUGGACGGAAGUCUGAUGCAGCAACGCCGCGUGCGGGAUGACGGCCUUCGGGUUGGAAACCGCUUUCAAUUGUGACGAAGCUUUUUGUGACGGUAGCAGUAGAAGAAGCACCGGCUAACUACGUG